GGUUGUUCAUCUCUAUUGUGGAAACGACACCGUAUUGAUGAUAAAAAUAUCACGUAAUAGAAAUCAUCUAGACUCUUCCACCAGACUCUUUCAUAAUCAUUUCCUUGUGUUAACUCUCUCUCCGACUCUGUCUCUCGUUCUAUGGUACGUCCUCCUCUUGUUUUUCUCUGCUUUUUCCUUAUUUAACUGGAUUCACUAGAGAAACUUCAAAUUUUGUUACAUUUUUGCACUUUUGUGGAUUUUUUUUCUUUUGUUCAGUUUUACUUAAAUUAAUUUUCUUCUUUGCUGUCUGAUAUGUGAAAAAUCUAUUCGAUUCCUCUUAAGUGACUUUGAUCUACUUCAGAAGCUAAAUGUUUUCUUUUUCCUCGAUUUUUGUUGUGUUCGAGUCUAUUCCAAUUUUGUGUCUCAAUUUUACAGUACCAUUGUUCAUAUUUUCAGCAGGUUCUUCUUUAGAUUAGUUGUUCAUAUUUUCAGCAGGUUCUUCUUUAGAUUAGCUCGACCUAGCUAAGAAAAUUCUGAUUUUUACUACAUUUUUCCUUCUUCGUGGAUUUGGUCGUCUGUUUCUUCAGUUUUAUUUAAGGCCUUGUAUCUUCUUUCUGUCUGAUAUGUGAAAAUCUUGUUGGGUUAUUCUUCAUUCACCUUGAUUUACUUCAGAAGCUUUUAUUUUUGCAAGAUGUGUGUUUCUCCACUCAAUUUCUGCUUCUAAUGUUUAACGAGGAGUACAACUGGUUCUUGUCAGUAUUCUCGGAGAUUUUUUUUGGCUCAGUUGGGAUGUCUUAUACUCUUGUUGGCAUUUGUACUUUUGGCUUUUAACAUUUUAUCUUUAUCCAAUUAAGAAGCUCGAUAUUUUCCUCAAUCUUUGCUGUACUGUGUAUUUCUUUUUUUUUUUUUUUUUUUUUUUUUUUUUUUUUUUUUUUUUUUUUUUUUUUUUUUGUAUUUCUUUUUUUUUUUUUUUUUUUGUGUAGUUUUAGUUUAGGUACGUUGUUAUUUUUAUACGUCUGUUG
rnacentral:lncRNA from 1 species